rnacentral:rRNA from 1 species
GACGAACGCUGGCGGCGUGCUUAACACAUGCAAGUCGAACGGUAAGGCCCUUCGGGGUACACGAGUGGCGAACGGGUGAGUAACACGUGGGUGAUCUGCCCUGCACUUCGGGAUAAGCCUGGGAAACUGGGUCUAAUACCGGAUAGGACCACUGCCUGCAUGGGUGGUGGUGGAAAGCUUUUGCGGUGUGGGUUGGGCCCGCGGCCUAUCAGCUUGUUGGUGGGGUGAUGGCCUACCAAGGCGACGACGGGUAGCCGGCCUGAGAGGGUGACCGGCCACACUGGGACUGAGAUACGGCCCAGACUCCUACGGGAGGCAGCAGUGGGGAAUAUUGCACAAGGGGCGCAAGCCUGAUGCAGCGACGCCGCGUGAGAGAUGACGGCCUUCGGGUUGUAAACCUCUUUCAGCACCGACGAAGCGCAAGUGACGGUAGGUGCAGAAGAAGGACCGGCCAACUACGUGCCAGCAGCCGCCGUAA